rnacentral:lncRNA from 1 species
CUCCUGCUCUGGAUGGGAUUACAGAUGUGCAUCACCACCCUUGGCCUCAUGAUUUGGUGCAGAUCAUUUAUAUAUUUCAUGGUGUUUAGUAAAUAAUGAGUGCUCAACCAAUGUUAAUUCCUUUCCCAGGGCAAAGGAAAAGCAAUGGAAAGAAAACUGGUGAAGGGCUUGUUGUGAGAAAAAGGAAAGAAGAAAAGAAUGGAAGGAGAGUACAUAAUGGAACUGGAGCAUCCGAACACUCUUCUAGAAUUUUACUCUGAGAUGAAAUCUUCAAUCCAAAAGUCAGAAACUUACUAAAAACAUUUGGAAAGUGAAAAAAGGAGCCAGCAUACAAAGACUUAAAAAAUAAAUCAACAGGGUGAGUAUCAAAUUCUGGCCAUACAAAUGACUAAUGCAAUCACUGCAGGAUUGAGCCUGGACAAUGUCCAGGAUGACUUGAUUACAUUAUACUUUAUA